rnacentral:rRNA from 1 species
AGCAGCCGCGGUAAUUCCAGCUCCAAUAGCGUAUAUUAAAGUUGUUGCAGUUAAAAAGCUCGUAGUUGAAUUUCGGGGUUAGUAGGUUGGUCAUGCCUCUGGUAUGUACUGGUCUCACUGAUUCCUCCUUCCUGAUGAACCUUAAUGCCAUUUAUUUGGUGUUUUGGGGAAUUUGGACUGUUACUUUGAAAAAAUUAGAGUGUUUAAAGCAAGCUAACGCUUGAAUACAUUAGCAUGGAAUAAUGAAAUAGGACGUUCGAUCCUAUUUUGUUGGUUUCUAGGAUUGACGUAAUGAUUAAUAGGGAUAGUUGGGGGCAUUAGUAUUCAAUUGUCAGAGGUGAAAUUCUUGGAUUUAUUGAAGACUAACUACUGCGAAAGCAUUUGCCAAGGAUGUUUUCAUUAAUCAAGAACGAAAGUUAGGGGAUCGAAGACGAUCAGAUACCGUCGUAGUCUUAACCAUAAACUAUGCCGACUAGGGAUCGGAUGAUGUUAA